rnacentral:rRNA from 1 species
AGAGCUUGCUCUUAUGAAGUUAGCGGCGGACGGGUGAGUAACACGUGGGUAACCUGCCCAUAAGACUGGGAUAACUCCGGGAAACCGGGGCUAAUACCGGAUAAUAUUUUGAACUGCAUGGUUCGAAAUUGAAAGGCGGCUUCGGCUGUCACUUAUGGAUGGACCCGCGUCGCAUUAGCUAGUUGGUGAGGUAACGGCUCACCAAGGCAACGAUGCGUAGCCGACCUGAGAGGGUGAUCGGCCACACUGGGACUGAGACACGGCCCAGACUCCUACGGGAGGCAGCAGUAGGGAAUCUUCCGCAAUGGACGAAAGUCUGACGGAGCAACGCCGCGUGAGUGAUGAAGGCUUUCGGGUCGUAAAACUCUGUUGUUAGGGAAGAACAAGUGCUAGUUGAAUAAGCUGGCACCUUGACGGUACCUAACCAGAAAGCCACGGCUAACUACGUGCCAGCAGCCGCGGUAAUACGUAGGUGGCAAGCGUUAUCCGGAAUUAUUGGGCGUAAAGCGCGCGCAGGUGGUUUCUUAAGUCUGAUGU